GACGAACGCUGGCGGCGUGCCUAAUACAUGCAAGUCGAACGCUGAAGGAGGAGCUUGCUUCUCUGGAUGAGUUGCGAACGGGUGAGUAACGCGUAGGUAACCUGCCUGGUAGCGGGGGAUAACUAUUGGAAACGAUAGCUAAUACCGCAUAAGAGUAGAUGUCGCAUGACAUUUGCUUAAAAGGUGCAAUUGCAUCACUACCAGAUGGACCUGCGUUGUAUUAGCUAGUUGGUGAGGUAACGGCUCACCAAGGCAACGAUACAUAGCCGACCUGAGAGGGUGAUCGGCCACACUGGGACUGAGACACGGCCCAGACUCCUACGGGAGGCAGCAGUAGGGAAUCUUCGGCAAUGGACGGAAGUCUGACCGAGCAACGCCGCGUGAGUGAAGAAGGGUGUCGGAUCGUAAAGCUCUGUUGUAAGAGAAGAACGAGUGUGAGAGUGGAAAGUUCACACUGUGGCGGUAUCUUACCAGAAAGGGACGGCUAACUACGUG
rnacentral:rRNA from 1 species